rnacentral:rRNA from 1 species
GACGAACGCUGGCGGCGUGCCUAAUACAUGCCAGUAGAACGCACAGUUUAUACCGUAGCUUGCUACACCAUAGACUGUGAGUUGCGAACGGGUGAGUAACGCGUAGGUAACCUGCCUGGUAGCGGGGGAUAACUAUUGGAAACGAUAGCUAAUACCGCAUAAUAUUGAUUAUUGCAUGAUAAUUGAUUGAAAGAUGCUAUUGCAUCACUACCAGAUGGACCUGCGUUGUAUUAGCUAGUAGGUGAGGUAACGGCUCACCUAGGCGACGAUACAUAGCCGACCUGAGAGGGUGAUCGGCCACACUGGGACUGAGACACGGCCCAGACUCCUACGGGAGGCAGCAGUAGGGAAUCUUCGGCAAUGGACGAAAGUCUGACCGAGCAACGCCGCGUGAGUGAAGAAGGUUUUCGGAUCGUAAAGCUCUGUUGUAAGAGAAGAACGGAUGUGAGAGUGGAAAGUUCACACUGUGACGGUAUCUUACCAGAAAGGGACGGCUAACUACGUG